rnacentral:rRNA from 1 species
GUAGUCAUAUGCUUGUCUCAAAGAUUAAGCCAUGCAUGUCUAAGUAUAAGCACUCUAUACUGUGAAACUGCGAAUGGCUCAUUAAAUCAGUUAUCGUUUAUUUGAUAGUACCUUGCUACAUGGAUACCUGUGGUAAUUCUAGAGCUAAUACAUGCUAAAAACCCCGACUUCGGGAGGGGUGUAUUUAUUAGAUAAAAAACCAAUGCCCCUCGGGGCUCCUUGGUGAUUCAUAAUAACUUAACGAAUCGCAUGGCCCUGCGCCGGCGAUGGUUCAUUCAAAUUUCUGCCCUAUCAACUUUCGAUGGUAGGAUAGUGGCCUACCAUGGUGGCAACGGGUAACGGGGAAU